GACGAACGCUGGCGGCGUGCUUAACACAUGCAAGUCGAACGGAAAGGCCCCUUUGGGGGUACUCGAGUGGCGAACGGGUGAGUAACACGUGAGUAACCUGCCCUUGACUCCGGGAUAACUUCAGGAAACUGGGGCUAAUACCGGAUAGGAAUCCUUGCUGCAUGGUGGGGGUUGGAAAGCUUCGGCGGUUUUGGAUGGACUCGCGGCUUAUCAGCUUGUUGGUGGGGUAGUGGCUUACCAAGGCUUUGACGGGUAGCCGGCCUGAGAGGGCGACCGGCCACAUUGGGACUGAGAUACGGCCCAGACUCCUACGGGAGGCAGCAGUGGGGAAUAUUGCACAAUGGGCGGAAGCCUGAUGCAGCAACGCCGCGUGCGGGAUGACGGCCUUCGGGUUGUAAACCGCUUUCAGCAGGGGCGAAGCUUGUGGUGACGGUACCUGCAGAAGAAGCACCGGCUAACUACGUG
rnacentral:rRNA from 1 species